ensembl:ncRNA lncRNA:CR44041 long non-coding RNA:CR44041
ACCUCUAUUGACACUUGCCACUCAUCCAAAUUCGAUACCCACUCGAAAGCCUUGAAAACAUUGUAAAACUCGGGCGACAACUGGCCGACAAAUGUCACCGCCAGCUGACAGAUGACGACAAUUUUUCCGACGACCUGUCAGGCGGGAAAGCAGAACAAGAAAACAACAAAGCACCAGCACAGCAGGAAAAUCAAACUCAAAUUAGUCGCUGGCCAAAAUGCUGGGGAAAUAUUUACACAAAUGAAAAUCGCCGUGCUACGUGAUUUUCGCUGCGUUUUUUCGAAUUCCCCGUAUUUUUUGUCGGUUCGGUUUUGUUUUUAGAGCGUGUCGUUAGGAAAAUAUUUUACGAUACGAAGAAUGGGCGAUGACGACCCAUUUAGCUCAGGUCGGAAAUCGGAUUUGGGAUCGAGAAUUGGAGCAAAGAUGGCCUAUUCCAUCUAUUCGGAUUCAUUCAGCUGUGUCUUCGAAUUCAAAGGUUGCAACGAGGCGUUCACUAAAAAAUGAAAGUGGAAAUGAGGAUGCAGUGGAAUUGGUGCGAGAAGUGGAGUCUCACAUGACAAAUAACUUAUGACAUAUUAACAAAUUAACAGCUGAAAUGAAUUUUCAAGGCGACUGGAUUUUUUUUAACAAUUUUAAUCGAACUUGACAAAACAUUUAUACAAAAAUUAAUUCGAGCAUAUUUGUUUUUCCAAUUUCCCUCCC